rnacentral:rRNA from 1 species
AGGGAGCCUGAGAAACGGCUACCACAUCCAAGGAAGGCAGCAGGCGCGCAAAUUACCCAAUCCAGACAUUGGGAGGUAGUGACGAGAAAUACUGGGGGCGCUCAAUGAGUGCCAUCCGGAAUGAACGUAACAUAAAGCAUUCGAUGAGGAUCUACUGGAGGGCAAGUCUGGUGCCAGCAGCCGCGGUAAUUCCAGCUCCAGUAGUGUAUAUCAACAUUGUUGCGCUUGGAACGCUCGUAGUUGGAUUGCAGGGUUCCGAACAGCCGGUCACAAAUGUGUCUGGUUGGUUGUGUGCCUUUGGGUGCACAUUGGGACUCUUGUCGCACCCGGCUCGGAUUGAAUCUUUGUUGGUUUGUCCGAAACUGGGUGGAGUGUGCCUUGAAUAAAGCAUGGUGCUCAAAGCAGGCGUACGCUCGUGUGUAAUAGCAUGGAACGAAUAGUUAUUGACUGGAUUGCAGUGUGUAGCUCUGUUUACGGGGUUGCAGCUGUGGUCAAGCUCACCUAGUGUUGGUUGGAGCAACGGUCUCACUGGUUAAAAGGGACAUUUGAGGGCACUAGUACUUUGUGGCGAGAGGUGAAAUUCUUUGACCCACAAAAGACUGACUAUUGCGAAAGCAUUUGCCAAGAAUGUUUUCAUUAAUCAAGAACGAAGGUCAGAGGAUCGAAGACGAUCAGAUACCGUCCUAGUUUUGACAGCAAACUAUGCCAGCAUAGAAUAAGUUUAAUCUCCUUGUAAAAGGCAGAAUUUGAUUUGUUCUUAAGGGAAACCUAGCUUUCGGGCUGCUGGGAGAAUAUCGCUGCAAGGCUGAAAUUUAAAGAAAUUGACGGAGAGGCACCACCAGGAGUGGAGCCUGCGGCUUAAUUUGACUCAACACGGGGAAACUCACCAGGUCCAGACAUGUGUAGGAUUGACGGGUUAUAGAUCUUUCAUGAUUAUGUGAUUGGUGGUGCAUGGCCGUUCUUAGUUGGUGGAGUGAUCUGUCAGGUCUAUUCCGGUAACGAGCGAGACCGCGGUCCUUAUUUUAGCUGGUUUCACUUGUGGUUGCUGGUUAAUAAGGAGACUAUUGGUGUUUAAACCAGGGGAAGCGUGGCAAUAACAGGUCUGUGAUGCCCUUUGAUGUCCUGGGCUGCACGCGCGCUACAAUGGCAGCAGUAGAGAGUGGCUGGCCAGAGAUGGUUGGCGAAUCUGUGAAUAGCUGUCGUGAUGGGGAUUGAGCCUUGUAAUUGUUGCUCAUGAAAGAGGAAUUCCUCGUAAGCACUAGUCAUCAGCUAGUGUUGAAUACGUCUCUGCCUCUUGUACACACCGCCCGUCGCUACUACCGAUUGAAUUGCGUCCAGAGCUUGUUUGACC